rnacentral:pre_miRNA from 8 species
UCGAACACGUCUCCUUAUCACUUUUCCAGCCCAGCUAUCCAUUUAGUAUUCGUUGGACGGAGAACUGAUAAGGGCAUGUGCCCGA